rnacentral:rRNA from 1 species
AGCCAAUAGAUACCCAGGUAGUCCACGCCCUAAACGAUGUCUACUAGUUGUUGGUGGAGUAAAAUCCAUGAGUAAACGCAGCUAACGCGUGAAGUAGACCGCCUGGGGAGUACGGUCGCAAGAUUAAAACUCAAAGGAAUUGGCGGGGGCCCGCACAAGCGGUGGAUUAUGUGGAUUAAUUCGAUGCAACGCGAAAACCCUUACCUGGCCUUGACAUGCCACUAACGAAGCAGAGAUGCAUUAGGUGCCCGUAAGGGAAAGUGGACACAGGUGCUGCAUGGCUGUCGUCAGCUCGUGUCGUGAGAUGUUGGGUUAAGUCCCGCAACGAGCGCAACCCUUGCCAUUAAUUGCCAUCAUUUAGUUGGGCACUUUAAUGGGACUGCCGGUGACAAACCGGAGGAAGGUGGGGAUGACGUCAAGUCCUCAUGGCCCUUAUGGCCAGGGCUU